GAGCGGCGAACGGGUGAGUAACACGUAGGUGAUCUGCCCAUCAGACGGGGACAACGAUUGGAAACGAUCGCUAAUACCGGAUAGGACGAAAGUUUAAAGGUGCUUCUGGCACCGCUGAUGGAUGAGCCUGCGGCGCAUUAGCUAGUUGGUAGGGUAAAGGCCUACCAAGGCGACGAUGCGUAGCCGACCUGAGAGGGUGAACGGCCACACUGGGACUGAGACACGGCCCAGACUCCUACGGGAGGCAGCAUG
rnacentral:rRNA from 1 species